UACGUAGGGUGCAAGCGUUGAUCGGAAUUACUGGGCGUAAAGGGCGCGUAGGCGGUAGAAAAAGUCGGAUGUGAAAUUCCGGGGCUCAACCCCGGAGCUGCAUUUGAAACUUUUCAACUAGAGUUCAGUUGGGGUAAACGGAAUUCCACGUGUAGCGGUGAAAUGCGUAGAUAUGUGGAAGAACACCGGUGGUGAAGACGGUUUACUAAGCUGAUACUGACGCUGAGGCGCGAAAGCAUGGGGAGCAAACAGG
rnacentral:rRNA from 1 species